rnacentral:misc_RNA from 1 species
GGAAGUAAAAGUCGUGACAAGGUUUCCGUAGGUGAACCUGCGGAAGGAUCAUUAUUGUAUAACCGAGGUGCGAGGGCUGUCGCUGACCCGAAAGGUCGUGCACGCCCGAGUGCCCUCACACACAUCCAUCUCACCCCUAUGUGCACCACCGCGUGGGUCCCCCUUUGGCUUGUUCGGAGGGGGGCUUACGUUUUCACACAAACUUUGUAUGCAGUGUAGAAUGUAUUUUUUGUUUUUGCGAUCACGCAAUCAAUACAACUUUCAACAACGGAUCUCUUGGCUCUC